rnacentral:rRNA from 1 species
AGCGGCGAACGGGUGAGUAACGCGUGGGCAAUCUACCUUAGUUAUAGGGAUAGCCCGAGGAAACUCGGAUUAAUACCUGAUAUUCUUUAUUUCUCGCAUGAGAAUAAAAGGAAAGGUCAGCCGAACUAAGAUGAGCUCGCGUUCUAUCAGCUAGUUGGUGAGGUAAAAGCUUACCAAGGCUACGACGGAUAGCUGGUCUGAGAGGACGAUCAGCCACACUGGGACUGAGACACGGCCCAGACUCCUACGGGAGGCUGCAGCAGGGAAUAUUGUGCAAUGAACGAAAGUUUGACACAGCGACACCGCGUGUGGGAUGACGGAUCUAGGUUUGUAAACCACUUUCAGGAGGGAAGAAAAUGACGGUACCUCCACAAGAAGCCCCGGCCAACUACGUGCCAGCAGCCGCGGUAAUACGUAGGGGGCGAGCGUUGUCCGGAUUUAUUGGGCGUAAAGAGCUCGUAGGCGGUUCAACAAGUCGGUCGUGAAAGUUCAGGGCUCAACCCUGAAAUGUCGAUCGAUACUGUUGUGACUAGGAUACGGUAGAGGUGAGUGGAAUUCCGAGUGUAGCGGUGAAAUGCGUAGAUAUUCGGAGGAACACCAAUUGCGAAGGCAGCUCACUGGACCGCUAUCGACGCUGAGGAGCGAAAGCUGGGGGAGCAAACAGGAUUAGAUACCCUGGUAGUCCUAGCUGU